rnacentral:rRNA from 1 species
AUGAUGCAGCGGAGUCGCAUGGCUCUGCUGCCAAAGAUUUAUCGCUGAAAGAUGGCCUCGCGUCUGAUUAGCUAGUUGGUGAGGUUAACGGGCCCACCAAGGCGACGAUCAGUAGCCGGCCUGAGAGGGUGACCGGCCACAUUGGGACUGAGACACGGCCCAAACUCCUACGGGAGGCAGCAGUGGGGGAAUAUUUGCACAAUGGGGGAAACCCUGAUGCAGCGACGCCGCGUGAGUGAAGAAGUAUUUCGGUAUGUAAAGCUCUAUCAGCAGGGAAGAAAAUGACGGUACCUGACUAAGAAGCCCCGGCUAACUACGUG